GUGGGGAAUAUUGGACAAUGGGCGCAAGCCUGAUCCAGCCAUGCCGCGUGAGUGAUGAAGGCCCUAGGGUUGUAAAUCUCUUUCACCGAUGAUGAUAAUGACGGUAGUCGGAGAAGAAGCCCCGGCUAACUUCGUGCCAGCAGCCGCGGUAAUACGACGGGGGCUAGCUUUGUUCGGAUUUACUGGGCGUAAAGCGCACGUAGGCGGAUCGUUAAGUCGGCGGUGAAAUCCUGGAGCUCAACUCCAGAUCUGCCUUCGAUACUGGCGAUCUUGAGUCCGGAAGAGGUGAGUGGAACUCCUAGUGUAGAGGUGGAAUUCGUAGAUAUUAGGAAGAACACCAGUGGCGAAGGCGGCAUACUGGUCCGGAACUGACGCUGAGGUGCGAAAGCGUGGGGAGCAAACAGGAUUAGAAACCCUAGUAGUCC
rnacentral:rRNA from 1 species